CAUUGGUGCUGUAAGACCCCCGAUUUGGGGACCCCCACUCUAGUCCAGGGAUAGUGUGCACCCACGAACACACAAGAGUCC
rnacentral:pre_miRNA from 7 species